CAGUUUCAGUUAGGCGGCGAUAUUUACAGGGAGUUUUAUCAGUCUCUAGAAGUCUACCUCGAAGGAGCCCAGAGUAAUAAUUGCGGAAACAUUAAGGAUAUUUUUCUAAAGAAUAUUCGGAAAUAUAUGGAUCUCGAAUUUGAUAAUAGAUGAAUGGUCAAAUUCAUCUAUUAACUGUCCUAUUCAGAAAAUAUCUAGUACUCGAAGGUAUAUAGAGGGAGAUCCAAAUUAAGUAUGCACCAUUGGUAACUUCAUUAUUAUUGGAAAUGCAGUUUUUUUUUAAUGGAAAGCGCUAUAUGUAAUAUUUCUCUUAUAUUUUUCUGGUAGAAAAAGGUAUUUCAAUUAUAAAAGCAUUUGAUAGUUUUUUUGUAAAGUGGAAAUUGAAGGAGUUCUGAAGAAUGAAUAGAAGAUAAACCUCAACUUGAUUGUUGAAAUAAACAUUUGAAAAAUGA